GGAUGGGUAGGGGAGCGUCGUGUGCCGGGUGAAGCAGCCGCGGAAGCGAGUUGUGGACGGUUCACGAGUGAGAAUGCAGGCAUGAGUAGCGAUACACACGUGAGAAACGUGUGCGCCGAUUGACUAAGGGUUCCUGGGUCAAGCUGAUCUGCCCAGGGUAAGUCGGGACCUAAGGCGAGGCCGACAGGCGUAGUCGAUGGACAACCGGUUGAUAUUCCGGUACCCGCUUUGAAACGCCCAGUACUGAAUCAGGCGAUGCUAAGUCCGUGAAGCCGGCCCGAUCUCUUCGGAGUUGAGGGUAGUGGUGGAGCCGAUGAACCAGACUUGUAGUAGGUAAGCGAUGGGGUGACGCAGGAAGGUAGUCCAGCCCGGGCGGUGGUUGUCCCGGGGUAAGGGUGUAGCCCGUGUGGUAGGUAAAUCCGUCACACGUUAAGGGUGAGACCUGAUGCCGAGCCGAUUGUGGUGAAGUGGAUGAUCCUAUGCUGUCGAGAAAAGCCUCUAGCGAGUUUCAUGGCGGCCCGUACCCUAAACCGACUCAGGUGGUCAGGUAGAGAAUACCGAGGCGUUCGGGUGAACUAUGGUUAAGGAACUCGGCAAAAUGCCCCCGUAACUUCGGGAGAAGGGGGGCCAUCACUGGUGAUAGCACUUGCUGCUUGAGCUGGGGGUGGCCGCAGAGACCAGCGAGAAGCGACUGUUUACUAAAAACACAGGUCCGUGCGAAGCCGUAAGGCGAUGUAUACGGACUGACGCCUGCCCGGUGCUGGAACGUUAAGGGGACCGGUUAGCUGCUUUUCGGAGCGGCGAAGCUGAGAACUUAAGCGCCAGUAAACGGCGGUGGUAACUAUAACCAUCCUAAGGUAGCGAAAUUCCUUGUCGGGUAAGUUCCGACCUGCACGAAUGGCGUAACGACUUCUCGACUGUCUCAACCAUAGGCCCGGUGAAAUUGCACUACGAGUAAAGAUGCUCGUUUCGCGCAGCAGGACGGAAAGACCCCGGGACCUUUACUAUAGUUUGAUAUUGGUGUUCGGUUCGGCUUGUGUAGGAUAGGUGGGAGACUUUGAAGCGGCCACGCCAGUGGUUGUGGAGUCGUCGUUGAAAUACCACUCUGGUCGUGCUGGAUGUCUAACCUGGGUCCGUGAUCCGGAUCAGGGACAGUGUCUGAUGGGUAGUUUAACUGGGGCGGUUGCCUCCUAAAGAGUAACGGAGGCGCCCAAAGGUUCCCUCAGCCUGGUUGGCAAUCAGGUGUUGAGUGUAAGUGCACAAGGGAGCUUGACUGUGAGACCGACGGGUCGAGCAGGGACGAAAGUCGGGACUAGUGAUCCGGCAGUGGCUUGUGGAAGCGCUGUCGCUCAACGGAUAAAAGGUACCCCGGGGAUAACAGGCUGAUCUUCCCCAAGAGUCCAUAUCGACGGGAUGGUUUGGCACCUCGAUGUCGGCUCGUCGCAUCCUGGGGCUGGAGUCGGUCCCAAGGGUUGGGCUGUUCGCCCAUUAAAGCGGUACGCGAGCUGGGUUUAGAACGUCGUGAGACAGUUCGGUCCCUAUCCGCUGUGCGCGUAGGAAUAUUGAGAAGGGCUGUCCCUAGUACGAGAGGACCGGGACGGACGAACCUCUGGUGUGCCAGUUGUCCUGCCAAGGGCAUGGCUGGUUGGCUACGUUCGGAAAGGAUAACCGCUGAAAGCAUCUAAGCGGGAAGCCUGCUUCGAGAUGAGUAUUCCCACCCUCUUGAAGGGUUAAGGCUCCCAGUAGACGACUGGGUUGAUAGGCCAGAUGUGGAAGCCCUGUAAGGGGUGGAGCUGACUGGUACUAAUAGGCCGAGGGCUUGUCCUCAGUUG
rnacentral:rRNA from 2 species